rnacentral:rRNA from 1 species
CCUACGGGAGGCAGCAGUGAGGAAUAUUGGUCAAUGGCCGAGAGGCUGAACCAGCCAAGUCGCGUGAGGGAAGACGGCCCUACGGGUUGUAAACCUCUUUUGUCGGGGAGCAAAGAGAGUCACGUGUGACUCAUUGAGAGUACCCGACGAAAAAGCAUCGGCUAACUCCGUGCCAGCAGCCGCGGUAAUACGGGGGAUGCGAGCGUUAUCAGGAUUUAUUGGGUUAAAAGGGUGCGCAGGCGGAGGUGCAAGUCAGCGGUCAAAUUGCGGGGCUCAACCCCGUACUGCCGUUGAAACUGCAUGCCUUGAGUGCGCGAGAAGUAGGCGGAAUGCGUGGUGUAGCGGUGAAAUGCAUAGAUAGCGCGAAGAACUCCGAUUGCGAAGGCAGCAUACCGGCGCGCAACUGACGCUCAUGCACGAAAGCGUGGGUAUCGAACAGGAUUAGAUACCCUUGUAGUC